GACGAUUGGUAGCCGGACUGAGAGGUUGAACGGCCACAUUGGGACUGAGACACGGCCCAGACUCCUACGGGAGGCAGCAGUGGGGGAUAUUGCACAAUGGGGGAAACCCUGAUGCAGCGACGCCGCGUGGAGGAAGAAGGUUUUCGGAUUGUAAACUCCUGUCGUUAGGGACGAUAAUGACGGUACCUAACAAGAAAGCACCGGCUAACUACGUGCCAGCAGCCGCGGUAAAACGUAGGGUGCAAGCGUUGUCCGGAAUUACUGGGUGUAAAGGGAGCGCAGGCGGGAAGACAAGUUGGAAGUGAAAACCAUGGGCUCAACCCAUGAAUUGCUUUCAAAACUGUUUUUCUUGAGUAGUGCAGAGGUAGAUGGAACUCCCGGUGUAGCGGUGGAAUGCGUAGAUAUCGGGAGGAACACCAGUGGCGAAGGCGGUCUACUGGGCACCAACUGACGCUGAGGCUCGAAAGCAUGGGUAGCAAACAGGAUUAGAUACCCUGGUAGUCCAUGCCGUAAACGAUGAUUACUAGGUGUUGGGGGAUUGACCCCCUCAGUGCCGCAGUUAACACAAUAAGUAAUCCACCUGGGGAGUACGACCGCAAGGU
rnacentral:rRNA from 1 species